AGUGAACGCUGGCGGUAGGCCUAACACAUGCAAGUCGAACGGCAGCACAGUAAGAGCUUGCUCUUACGGGUGGCGAGUGGCGGACGGGUGAGGAAUACAUCGGAAUCUACUUUUUCGUGGGGGAUAACGUAGGGAAACUUACGCUAAUACCGCAUACGACCUACGGGUGAAAGCAGGGGAUCUUCGGACCUUGCGCGAUUGAAUGAGCUGAUGUCGGAUUAGCUAGUUGGCGGGGUAAAGGCCCACCAAGGCGACGAUCCGUAGCUGGUCUGAGAGGAUGAUCAGCCACACUGGAACUGAGACACGGUCCAGACUCCUACGGGAGGCAGCAGUGGGGAAUAUUGGACAAUGGGCGAAAGCCUGAUCCAGCCAUGCCGCGUGGGUGAAGAAGGCCUUCGGGUCGUAAAGCCCUUUUGUUGGGAAAGAAAAGCAGCAGGUUAAUACCCCGCUGUUCUGACGGUACCCAAAGAAUAAGCACCGGCUAACUUCGUG
rnacentral:rRNA from 1 species